CUAGUCGAGCGGUACAGGAGAGAGCUUGCUUUCUUGCUGACGAGCGGCGGACGGGUGAGUAAUGUAUGGGGAUCUGCCCGAUAGAGGGGGAUAACUACUGGAAACGGUGGCUAAUACCGCAUAAUGUCUACGGACCAAAGCAGGGGCUCUUCGGACCUUGCACUAUCGGAUGAACCCAUAUGGGAUUAGCUAGUAGGUGGGGUAAAGGCUCACCUAGGCGACGAUCUCUAGCUGGUCUGAGAGGAUGAUCACCCACACUGGGACUGAGACACGGCCCAUACUCCUACGGGAGGCAGCGGUUUUUAAAAAUUUUGCACAGGGGGCGCAAGCCUGAUGCACCCAUGCCGCGUGUAUGAACAACGGCCUUAGGGUUGUAAAGUACUUUCAGCGGGGAGGAAGGUGAUAAGGUAAUACCCUUGUCCAUUGACGUUACCCGCAGAAAAGCACCGGCUAACUCCGUGCCAGCAGCCGCGGUAAUACGGAGGGUGCAAGCGUUAAUCGGAAUUACUGGGCGUAAAGCGCACGCAUGCGGUCAAUUAAUCAGAUGUGAAGCCCUGAGCUUAACUUGGGAAUCCCUCAUGCUAUCAGGUUGGGAAUUGUCUUCUAGAACUGGGUUGGAUUUCGUGUGUAGAGGGGGGGAUCUUAUAAAUUCCGGAGGGAUACCGUGACAAAGAAGAGCAUGAAAUAUACUGGCGGGCGCCCCCCCCCCUCAAAAAAAAAGAGUGUAAUGCUCAAGUGCUAAAGCGUUGGGGAGCAAACAGAUUACAAUACCCUUGCUAGUCCAGCCUGUAACGAUGUCCAAUUUAGAGGUUGGUGGUCUUGAACAUGGCCUUUCUGAGCCUUAUCCGGUAAUCGACCCGCCUUGGGAGAUACCGGCCGCAAGAUCAAACUCAUGGAGAUUGACCGCGGGCCCGCAGCGGAUUGAGAGCCAUGUGUGUUUAUUCCAUGGCAACGGCAAAUCUCUAACCUAGCUCCUCUGUGAUAACU
rnacentral:rRNA from 1 species